UGGUGGAGUGAUUUGUCUGGUUAAUUCCGAUAACGAACGAGACCGCAACCUGCUUAAUAGAUGUACGAAUCAUCUAUUUGAGUGCAGUAGGUCGGAAUUUAAUCUUUGGCGAAAGUUAGGGGUUAGAGCUUUCUUAUGAAUCUUUGAUGUAUUUGGACAAGCUUCUUAGAGGGACUACCAGCUUAAGCUGGGGAAGUGCGGCAAUAACA
rnacentral:rRNA from 1 species